ensembl:lncRNA
CUCAGCAAAGACCUGCAGGGCUGUGGGGCAUGCUGCUCAGCUGACGGGGCUCUUUGCUUGUUCACGGUGCUCUUUCUCGAAGGGGCCCCAGUGACAGAGCCAUUCACAAGCACGGGCCAUAAAUGACCGAGUUGAACACCACAUUAAGCACUGCAUUCUCAGAAACCAGCAUCAGCUCUGGACCACAGCCAAAAUGCCAGGAACGAAAGGUAAUAAGUCGGACAAGAAGUCAGCUACCAAGCAACCUCAGAGUCCUAAAGAGCAGCCGAAGAAAGGUGAUCAGAAAGGAGAUGAUAACAAGAAGCAAGGAGGACAGCCGAAGGGAGAGAAGCAAUAACUUCCAGGCAUUUGUGAAGAUGGCUUUGGAGACACUGCUGGGGUCCUGUCGUCGUAAACAUGGGGGUCCUCGGGGCAGACAGGGCUGAACGUCCCUCCCCUCCGCACUUUUCCCCCAGAGCCUGCAGACUGCAGUGCCGUUGUGUGGCCUUGCAAUUUAGAAUCUGCUCACCUCACACAGAGACAGAAAGUGAACCUGAGCUCCAUCCAUCACCAUCUGUUGUUCCUUCCCCCCCACCUCUCAACCUUUUGCUGUCCCCUUUCCCACACUGUCCCCUCAUUGGAUGCUCAGAAAGAGACUCCAGGUUAGACCGGAUAAUUGCUUUGAGCAAAAAAAAAACCCCCAAAAAACCCCAAAACACCCUUUUAGAAUCCUUCCCUAACUCACCCUCCUAGCACGACUGACUGUCCAACAGUGCAAUCAUUCUUUUUGUAAAUAAUGACUCAAAUAAACAACUAUUUCUUACAGCAGUUCAUGUGUGACUGACUUCUAUUUUUACCCGACAUCCAAACAUCUUUGCAAUGUUCGCAUGGAAAUAAACAAAAACAGCAUUCCAGG